rnacentral:rRNA from 1 species
CAGUAGCCACGGGAAUACGUAGGUGGCAAGCGUUGUCCGGAAUUAUUGGGCGUAAAGGGCGCGCAGGCGGCUUCUUAAGUCUGUCUUAAAAGUGCGGGGCUUAACCCCGUGAUGGGACGGAAACUGGGAAGCUCAGAGUAUCGGAGAGGAAAGCGGAAUUCCUAGUGUAGCGGUGAAAUGCGUAGAUAUUAGGAAGAACACCAGUGGCGAAGGCAACUUUCUGGACGAAAACUGACGCUGAGGCGCGAAAGCCAGGGGAGCGAACGGGAUUAGAUACCCCAGUAGUCCCUGUCUCUUAUAC